UACGUAGGGUGCGAGCGUUAAUCGGAAUUACUGGGCGUAAAGCGUGCGCAGGCGGUUCGUUGUGUCGGUGGUGAAAGCCCCGGGCUUAACCUGGGAAUGGCCAUGGAAACUGGCGAACUGGAGUGUGGCAGAGGGGGGUGGAAUUCCGCGUGUAGCAGUGAAAUGCGUAGAUAUGCGGAGGAACACCGAUGGCGAAGGCAGUCCCCUGGGCCUGUACUGACGCUCAUGCACGAAAGCGUGGGGAGCAAACAGG
rnacentral:rRNA from 1 species